AGUGAACGCUGGCGGUAGGCCUAACACAUGCAAGUCGAACGGCAGCACAGUAAGAGCUUGCUCUUACGGGUGGCGAGUGGCGGACGGGUGAGGAAUACAUCGGAAUCUACUUUUUCGUGGGGGAUAACGUAGGGAAACUUACGCUAAUACCGCAUACGACCUACGGGUGAAAGCAGGAGAUCUUCGGACCUUGCGCGAUUGAAUGAGCCGAUGUCGGAUUAGCUAGUUGGCGGGGUAAAGGCCCACCAAGGCGACGAUCCGUAGCUGGUCUGAGAGGAUGAUCAGCCACACUGGAACUGAGACACGGUCCAGACUCCUACGGGAGGCAGCAGUGGGGAAUAUUGGACAAUGGGCGAAAGCCUGAUCCAGCAAUACCGCGUGGGUGAAGAAGGCCUUCGGGUUGUAAAGCCCUUUUGUUGGGAAAGAAAAGCAGCGGGUUAAUACCCCGCUGUUCUGACGGUACCCAAAGAAUAAGCACCGGCUAACUUCGUG
rnacentral:rRNA from 1 species